AAACUUUGAAGCCAUCUUUAACACAAUUUUAAUUAACACAAUGUCUACACGUUUGGAAACCAGCAGAACACGUUCCACAACCUGACAAGAACAGCUGUUGGAACCCAUGCGGCUUGGCGCCGGCAGAUAAAAACACCUUGGAUAUCUAAAAAAAUAACUUAAUGUUUGCAUAAUACGAAGCUAAUCUAAUAAACCACAAUCAAAACUCA